rnacentral:rRNA from 1 species
AGUGAACGCUGGCGGUAGGCCUAACACAUGCAAGUCGAACGGCAGCACAGUAAGAGCUUGCUCUUACGGGUGGCGAGUGGCGGACGGGUGAGGAAUACAUCGGAAUCUACUUUUUCGUGGGGGAUAACGUAGGGAAACUUACGCUAAUACCGCAUACGACCUACGGGUGAAAGCAGGGGAUCUUCGGACCUUGCGCGAUUGAAUGAGCCGAUGUCGGAUUGGCUAGUUGGCGGGGUAAAGGCCCACCAAGGCGACGAUCCGUAGCUGGUCUGAGAGGAUGAUCGGCCACACUGGAGCUGGGACACGGUCCAGACGCCUACGGGAGGCAGCAGUGGGGAAUAUUGGACAAUGGGCGCAAGCCUGAUCCAGCCAUACCGCGUGGGUGAAGAAGACCUUCGGGUUGUAAAGCCCUUUUGUUGGGAAAGAAAAGCAGCAGGUUAAUACCCCGCUGUUCUGACGGUACCCAAAGAAUAAGCACCGGCUAACUUCGUG